GACGAACCACACAAACGUUAUUCGGAAUUACUGGGCGUAAAGGGCUCGUAGGCGGCCAACUAAGUCAGACGUGAAAUCCCUCGGCGUAACCGGGGAACUGCGUCUGAUACUGGAUGGCUUGAGUGUGGGAGAGGGAUGCGGAAUUCCAGGUGUAGCGGUGAAAUGCGUAGAUAUCUGGAGGAACACCGGUGGCGAAGGCGGCAUCCUGGACUACUACUGACGCUGAGUGAGCGAAAGCCAGGGGAGCAAACGGG
rnacentral:rRNA from 1 species